CGCGGCGUGGAGAAGUGGUUAACUCGCAAGGGUCAUAGCCUUGAGAACGCAGGUCCGAACCCUGCCGCCGCAA
rnacentral:tRNA from 1 species